rnacentral:rRNA from 1 species
UACGUAGGGUGCGAGCGUUAAUCGGAAUUACUGGGCGUAAAGCGUGCGCAGGCGGUUUUGUAAGACAGAUGUGAAAUCCCCGGGCUUAACCUGGGAAUGGCAUUUGGGACUGCAAGGCUGGAGUUUGGCAGAGGAGACUGGAAUUCCCGGUGUAGCAGUGAAAUGCGUAGAUAUCGGGAGGAAUACCGAUGGCGAAGGCAGGUCUCUGGGCUAUAACUGACGCUCAUGCACGAAAGCGUGGGGAGCAAACAGG